rnacentral:rRNA from 1 species
GUCUACGGCGAUACCACACUGAAUGUGCCCAAUCUUGUCUGAUCUCAGAAGCUGAGCAGGGUUAGGUCUGGUUAGUAUUUGGAGGGGAGAUCUAUAGUUAUUUUAUUAGAAAUUUAAACC